GUUCUAAUAAAGGUUAUUUACCCCAUUAAUGUGACCCUUUUACACUAGGAGGUAUUUCUGAGUGGGCUAGGUUUUCCACCCAUUUGUUGUGAGUGGAUCCCCUACCCUAUUCUGUGCUGUCUCUAUUCUGUAUUAAUUUCGGGGUUAAGCCCCUAUACCUCCUGUAACCUUUUCUUUUGGAGGAGUGGUGAUAGUAUUCAUUCUAUUACCUCUCCCCCUUCUCUUCUUUUCUAAUUGUAAAUACAUUCCCAAUUCAUUCUUUGUUAUGUUAGAUGUGUAGUAUAAAGAACAGGUGAUGUAUAUGAACACGAUGUUAAAGCAUUCUUAAUUAUUCAGAAAUGCAUUUAAUUUAAG